AUAAAAUAGCUAAAAUAUACCCAAAACACCAAAAAUACUUGAAAUAUCUAUUGAUUAUUUAUCCAAAUAUUCAAACCAAAUCAAAUUAUAUGUUAAGUUUAGGUAUUUUGAUAUAUGUUAUUCAAAUUUAUAUGUGAUAUAUUAUUUUGUUUGUAUAUUUUGAGAAAUUUAAAUUAUAAAAUGAAUUUUAAAAUUUUAAAAAUAAUUUUAAUGGGUUAUCUUAAUCCGAACCAAACCCCCAAAGAUCCAAACCGAACCCGAACCAAAACUUAGAAAUACCCGAAUGGAGCUGAAAUCUUUGACCCCGAAAAUCUGAAACCCGAAUAGACCCGAACCAAACCUGAAUGGGUACCCGAAAGCCCACCACUAAUCUAUUCAUAUAUUUAAGCAUUCAUAACAAAUAUCAUAUCAAUCAACUACCACAAAAUCUUUUUGUGUGCUUAAUCUUGCCGUUCACGUAAAAUAUCUUAAUUUUCUCAACUUAUAUUCGUUUAUUACUUUAAGCAAAGAAUCAAACUUGGAAUAAAAUCGUAUAGGAUAUUCGCUAUAUAAUACUAAAAAUUCACAACUGACAAAAUCUUAGAUAUUAAUAUUGACUUACUCUAACCUUUCCUAACUAGCUAUAUAUACCUCUUUCCUAAUAAUCUAAACACCAUAUCAUUCAACGCAAAUCCUCCGAAAAUAUCUACUAUGACUACUUUUCAUGCUCUCACAAAACUCAGGCCUUAUAAAAAUAAUCAGCGAGUUUAAGUUAAGUGCUUACAAGAUGAACACCGCUUCUAGAGAUACCUUUGAGAUGGUAUUAACAGACUAAUGGGGAAACAAAAUCCAAGCCUGUUGCAAAAGAACACACAUGUACCAUGUUCAGCAUGCUAUACCAGUUGAAAAAUGGGGAGUAAUUAAAAAUGUUCAAAUCAAUGCAGCUGGUAGCAGGGCAGACGUGUUUCUGUUUAUUUCCCAAAAAAAAAAAAAUUACAUAGAUUUUGAUUUGUGAUUCAGGUCCACUAUUUAUUCGGUUACAAAUGAUAAAUAUUUUAAAAACAUAACAAAAUGGCGCAAAUCAAUUAAUCUAAUUAGGCUUUGUAAAUAUUUAAUAGAGAUAUACAUAUUUUUAUAUGUUUUUGGGUUACUUUUCCAAUUGUUUGUAUAUUUGCUAGCGAUUUUAUUGUUUGUAAAGCUAUAUAAGAAAAAAUUUAAAACAAGCUAUAAAUCACAAAUUUUAGAUUUUCUUAUUUAAUAAAACUAUUAAAUCUCAAAUAAAUGUUCUAAUAUUAUACACUUUAUGUUUAGUUUACCAAGUAAAAAAAAAAUUACAAUAUAAGAACAAUACAACCUCAAAGCUUAAAAAUGUACACUAAACAAUAUAAACAAGAUACACCAAUGUCACAACUAAUAACAUAUGAAAUAAUAACAU